CCUACGGGAGGCAGCAGUGGGGAAUCUUGCGCAAUGGACGAAAGUCUGACGCAGCGACGCCGCGUGGAGGAUGAAGCUUUUCGGAGUGUAAACUCCUGUUGCUCGGGACGAAUCCCUGGUUCUUCCAGGUUGACGGUACCGAGUGAGGAAGCACCGGCUAACUCCGUGCCAGCAGCCGCGGUAAUACGGAGGGUGCGAGCGUUGUCCGGAAUCACUGGGCGUAAAGGGCGCGUAGGUGGCUUGGUAAGCGUGCGGUGAAAGCUCGGGGCUCAACCUCGAGUCUGCCGUGCGAACUGCCGAGCUUGAGCAUCGUAGAGGCAGGUGGAAUUCCGGGUGUAGCGGUGGAAUGCGUAGAGAUCCGGAAGAACACCGGUGGCGAAGGCGGCCUGCUGGGCGAUAGCUGACACUGAGGCGCGACAGCGUGGGGAGCAAACAGGAUUAGAUACCCUGGUAGUCCACGCCGUAAACGAUGGGCACUAGGUGCUUGGGGGGUAGGCGACCCGUCGUAGUGCCGGCGCUACGCAUAAGUGCCCGCCGUCGGGAGGUACGGCCGGCGAGGCGUUGUAACGUUACAAGUAGAAGUUGACGGCGUUGAGACGUUGCCGACGGACGACGACGAGGGGAGGUUAGG
rnacentral:rRNA from 1 species